UACGUAGGGGGCAAGCGUUGUCCGGAAUCAUUGGGCGUAAAGCGCGUGUAGGCGGCCCGAUAAGUCCGCUGUGAAAGUCCAGGGCUCAACCCUGGGAUGCCGGUGGAUACUGUCUGGCUAGAGUCCGGAAGGGGCGAGUGGAAUUCCUGGUGUAGCGGUGAAAUGCGCAGAUAUCAGGAGGAACACCAAUGGCAAAGGCAGCUCGCUGGAACGGUACUGACGCUGAGGCGCGAAAGCGUGGGGAGCGAACAGG
rnacentral:rRNA from 1 species